GUACUUGCUUUUACUAAAUCAGUUAUGGUUCACUAGAUCGUAAAUUUUACACGGAUAACUGUGGUAAUUCUAGAGCUAAUACGUGCAACCAGCUCGCUUCCUUGUGGAGCGAGCGCAGUUAUUAGAACAAGACCAAUCCGGCCUUCGGGUCGGUACAAUUGGUGACUCUGAAUAACCGAAGCGGAGCGCAUGGUCUCGUACCGGCGCCAGAUCUUUCAAGUGUCUGACUUAUCAGCUUGUUGUUAGGUUAUGUUCCUAACAAGGCUUCAACGGGUAACGGGGUAUCAGGGUCCGAUACCGGAGAGGGAGCCUGAGAAACGGCUACCACAUCCAAGGAAGGCAGCAGGCGCGCAAAUUACCCACUCCUAGCACAGGGAGGUAGUGACGAAAAAUAACGAUGCGAGGGCUUAUAGCUUCUCGUAAUCGGAAUGGGUACACUUUAAAUCCUUUAACGAGGAUCUAUUGGAGGGCAAGUCUGGUGCCAGCAGCCGCGGUAAUUCCAGCUCCAAUAGCGUAUAUUAAAGUUGCUGCGGUUAAAAAGCUCGUAGUUGGAUCUGGGCUUCUGAAUGGAUGGUGCGCUUUACGGUGCUACUGUCCGUUUGGUGCCACAAGCCGGCCAUGUAGUGCAUGCUCUUCAUUGAGUGUGCAUUGCGACCGGAACGUUUACUUUGAAAAAAUUAGAGUGCUCAAAGCAGGCGUACGGCCUUGCAUAAUGGUGCAUGGAAUAAUGGAAUAGGACCUCGGUUCUAUUUUGUUGGUUUUCGGAACUCGAGGUAAUGAUUAAUAGGAACAGACGGGGGCAUUCGUAUUGCGGCGUUAGAGGUGAAAUUC
rnacentral:rRNA from 1 species